rnacentral:rRNA from 1 species
UACGAAGGGUGCAAGCGUUACUCGGAAUUACUGGGCGUAAAGCGUGCGUAGGUGGUUUGUUAAGUCUGCUGUGAAAGCCCCGGGCUCAACCUGGGAAUGGCAGUGGAUACUGGCAAGCUAGAGUGCGGUAGAGGGGUGUGGAAUUCCCGGUGUAGCGGUGAAAUGCGUAGAGAUCGGGAGGAACACCAGUGGCGAAGGCGGCACCCUGGACCAGCACUGGACCGCUCAUGGCACGAAAGCGUGGGGAGCAAACAGG